UACGUAGGGUGCAAGCGUUGUCCGGAAUUAUUGGGCGUAAAGGGCUCGUAGGCGGUUUGUCGCGUCUGCUGUGAAAACUCGGGGCUUAACCCCGGGCCUGCAGUGGGUACGGGCAGACUAGAGUGCGGUAGGGGAGACUGGAAUUCCUGGUGUAGCGGUGAAAUGCGCAGAUAUCAGGAGGAACACCGGUGGCGAAGGCGGGUCUCUGGGCAGUAACUGACGCUGAGGAGCGAAAGCGUGGGGAGCGAACAGG
rnacentral:rRNA from 1 species